UACGGGGGGAGCAAGCGUUGUUCGGAUUUACUGGGCGUAAAGGGCGCGUAGGCGGUCAGCACAAGUCAGUUGUGAAAUCUCCGGGCUUAACUCGGAAAGGUCAACUGAUACUGUGCGACUAGAGUGCAGAAGGGGCAACUGGAAUUCUCGGUGUAGCGGUGAAAUGCGCAGAUAUCAGGAAGAACACCCGUGGCGAAGGCGGCUCUCUGGGCCGAUACUGACGCUGAGGAGCGAAAGCGUGGGGAGCGAACAGG
rnacentral:rRNA from 1 species